rnacentral:rRNA from 1 species
CCGCGAAUGGCUCAUUAAAUCAGUUAUGGUUCCUUAGAUCGUUUCUUCCUACUUGGAUAACUGUGGCAAUUCUAGAGCUAAUACAUGCAGUGAGCCUGGAGCCCUUUGGGUAACGGGUGCUUUUAUUAGACCAAGAUCGAUCGGGUUUCGGCCCGUAUUGUGUGGUGACUCUGGAUAACUUUGUGCUGAUCGCAUGGCCACGAGCCGGCGACGUUUCUUUCAAGUGUCUGCCUUAUCAACUUUCGAUGGUAGGUUACUUGCUUACCAUGGUUGUUACGGGUAACGGAGAAUCAGGGUUCGAUUCCGGAGAGGGAGCCUGAGAAACGGCUACCACAUCCAAGGAAGGCAGCAGGCGCGCAAAUUACCCACUCCCGGCACGGGGAGGUAGUGACGAAAAAUAACAAUACGGGACUCUUUUGAGGCCCCGUAAUUGAAAUGAGUACACUCUAAAUCCUUUAACGAGGAUCAAUUGGAGGGCAAGUCUGGUGCCAGCAGCCGCGGUAAUUCCAGCUCCAAUAGCGUAUACUAAAGCUGCUGCGGUUAAAAAGCUCGUAGUUGGAUCUCAGUUCCAGACGAGUAGUGCAUCUACCCGAUGCGACGGCUCGGACUGAACAUCAUGCCGGUUCUUUCUUGGUGCACUUCAUUGUGUGCCUCGAGAUGGCCGGUGCUUUUACUUUGAAAAAAUUAGAGUGCUCAACGCAGGCGAGUCGCCUGAAUAAACUUGCAUGGAAUAAUAGAACAAGACCUCGUUUCUGUUCUGUUGGUUUUUGGAAUACGAGGUAAUGAUUAAGAGGGACGGACGGGGGCAUUCGUAUUGCGGCGCUAGAGGUGAAAUUCUUGGACCGUCGCAAGACGAACUACUGCGAAAGCAUUUGCCAAGAAUGUUUUCAUUGAUCAAGAACGAAAGUCAGAGGUUCGAAGGCGAUCAGAUACCGCCCUAGUUCUGACCAUAAACGAUGCCAACCAGCGAUCCGCCUGAGUUACUCAAAUGACUCGGCGGGCAGCUUCCGGGAAACCAAAGUAUUUGGGUUCCGGGGGAAGUAUGGUUGCAAAGCUGAAACUUAAAGGAAUUGACGGAAGGGCACCACCAGGAGUGGAGCCUGCGGCUUAAUUUGACUCAACACGGGAAAACUUACCCGGCCCGGACACUGGGAGGAUUGACAGAUUGAGAGCUCUUUCUUGAUUCGGUGGAUGGUGGUGCAUGGCCGUUCUUAGUUGGUGGAGCGAUUUGUCUGGUUAAUUCCGAUAACGAACGAGACUCUAGCCUAUUAAAUAGGUGCGGGGUUCCCAGCACCUUACAACCUUCUUAGAGGGACAAGCGGCUCCUAGCCGCACGAAACAGAGCAAUAACAGGUCUGUGAUGCCCUUAGAUGUCCGGGGCCGCACGCGCGCUACACUGAAGGAAGCAGCGUGUCUUUAUCCCUGUCUGAAAAGACUGGGUAACCCGUGGAACUUCUUUCGUGAUUGGGAUAGGGGCUUGCAAUUGUUCCCCUUGAACGAGGAAUUCCCAGUAAGCGCGAGUCAUAAGCUCGCGUUGAUUACGUCCCUGCCCUUUGUACACACCGCCCGUCGCUACUACCGAUUGAAUGAUUUAGUGAGGUCUUCGGACCGAUGUCCGGCGCGGCCUUUCGGUUGCGCCGGUCUGUUGGAAAGAUGACCAAACUUGAUCAUUUAGAGGAAGUAAAAGUCGUAACAAGG